UACAGAGGUCCCGAGCGUUGUUCGGAUUCAUUGGGCGUAAAGGGUGCGUAGCGGCGGGGCCAGUCUGAUGUGAAAUCCCCGGGGCUCAACCCCGGAACUGCAUUGGAUACUGCCUUGCUAGAGUACUGGAGAGGAACUGGAAUUUACGGUGUAGCAGUGAAAUGCGUAGAGAUCGUAAGGAAGGCCGGUGGCGAAGGCGGCAUCCUGGACCGGCACUUGACGCUGAGGCGCGAAAAGCCAGGGGAGCAAACGGG
rnacentral:rRNA from 1 species